rnacentral:rRNA from 1 species
UACGUAGGGACCAAGCGUUGUUCGGAUUUACUGGGCGUAAAGGGCGCGUAGGCGGCGUGACAAGUCACUUGUGAAAUCUCCGGGCUUAACUCGGAACGGCCAAGUGAUACUGUCGUGCUAGAGUGCAGAAGGGGCAAUCGGAAUUCUUGGUGUAGCGGUGAAAUGCGUAGAUAUCAGGAGGAACACCUGAGGUGAAGACGGGUUGCUGGGCUGACACUGACGCUGAGGAGCGAAAGCCAGGGGAGCAAACGGG